rnacentral:rRNA from 1 species
GUCGAGAAUCUUCCGCAAUGGACGCAAGUCUGACGGAGCGAUACAGCGUGAUGGACGAAGUGCUUCGGUACGUAAACAUCUUUUAUGUGGGACGAAAUUAUUGACGGUACCACAUGAAUAAGGGGCUCCUAACUCUGUGCCAGCAGGAGCGGUAAUACAGAGGCCCCAAGCAUUAUCCGGAAUCACUGGGCGUAAAGGGUGUCAAGGCGGUCAUGUUAGUCGUUCGUUAAAUCUGGGGGCUCAACCUCCAGCCUGCGAGCGAAACGGCAUGACUUGAGGUUGGAAGAGGUGCGUGGAACUCACGGUGUAGGGGUGAAAUCCGUUGAUAUCGUGGGGAACACCAAAGGCGAAGGCAGCGCACUGGUCCAAAUCUGACGCUCACACACGAAAGCCAGGGUAGCGAAUGGGAUUAGAAACCCUAGUAGUCC